rnacentral:rRNA from 2 species
UACCCAAGGUUGACCUCGGAUCAGGUA